CCUCUCGUGGCGUACGGGUAACGCGCCCAAACUAGAGAUCAGGGAGUCGUGAGUUCGAUUUUCACCGAGAAGA
rnacentral:tRNA from 1 species